rnacentral:tRNA from 4 species
CGGAAGUAGCUCAGUGGUAGAGCACAACCUUGCCAAGGUUGGGGUCGCGGGUUCGAGUCCCGUUUUCCG